CCAGGGGGUAGAUUGUGGUGAACCUCAGUAGGGGUUGUGAAUGCAACCCCAUCUAAGCUCCUCCUCCUGCACCCAGGUGCAGAUAAAAGGGCCAAGAUGGCUAAAGUCAGCCUCUGUUGGUUGCCUCCUAGGGUGGAUCCCCUGCUGCUGUUUUGUAUGGUUUUAGUUGUUCUGGUUAGCUGUUUUGUUUUGGUUCCGUUUGCUAUUUUGUUUUGGUUGCAUUGGUUAAGUUUGCUUUUGUGUUAUUUUCCCUUUUCUGUUUCAUUGUUUGACCUUUGGUUUGCUGGGUUACUUAACCCCUGUUUUGCAGUUUGGUUUGGUGAGGUUUUGCUCUUGUUUUCUUUAUUUAGUUAUUGUAACAAAAGAAACGGUUAAUAUAGUUAUUGUCUCUGCCUCUUUUAGUUCUUGAACCUGUGUCCUUAUUAUUUCUGUAAUAUCAUAGUUUAACUUUCUUUGUUCUAUAUUUCCUGGGGUGUAAUUCCCCAGGUGGCGUUGUCGGUCCCUCUUUAGUUAUUUCCCCCUCCCCUCGUUAAUAUUGACUGUUGCACUGAGCCCCGCCACA